rnacentral:rRNA from 1 species
AUUGAACGCUGGCGGCAGGCCUAACACAUGCAAGUCGAACGGUAACAGGAAGCAGCUUGCUGCUUUGCUGACGAGUGGCGGACGGGUGAGUAAUGUCUGGGAAACUGCCCGAUGGAGGGGGAUAACUACUGGAAACGGUAGCUAAUACCGCAUAACGUCGCAAGACCAAAGAGGGGGACCUUAGGGCCUCUUGCCAUCGGAUGUGCCCAGAUGGGAUUAGCUAGUAGGUGGGGUAACGGCUCACCUAGGCGACGAUCCCUAGCUGGUCUGAGAGGAUGACCAGCCAAACUGGAACUGAGACACGGUCCAGACUCCUACGGGAGGCAGCAGUGGGGAAUAUUGCACAAUGGGCGCAAGCCUGAUGCAGCCAUGCCGCGUGUAUGAAGAAGGCCUUCGGGUUGUAAAGUACUUUCAGCGGGGAGGAAGGGAGUAAAGUUAAUACCUUUGCUCAUUGACGUUACCCGCAGAAGAAGCACCGGCUAACUCCGU